rnacentral:rRNA from 1 species
UAACGCGAAGAACCUUACCUGGCCUUGACAUGUAACGAACUUUCCAGAGAUGGAUUGGUGCUCGAAAGAGAACGUUAACACAGGUGCUGCAUGGCUGUCGUCAGCUCGUGUCGUGAGAUGUUGGGUUAAGUCCCGCAACGAGCGCAACCCUUGCCAUUAAUUGCCAUCAUUUAGUUGGGCACUUUAAUGGGACUGCCGGUGACAAACCGGAGGAAGGUGGGGAUGACGUCAAGUCCUCAUGGCCCUUAUGGCCAGGGCUUCACACGUAAUACAAUGGUCGGUACAGAGGGUUGCCAACCCGCGAGGGGGAGCCAAUCCCAGAAAGCCGAUCGUAGUCCGGAUUGUAGUCUGCAACUCGACUACAUGAAGUCGGAAUCGCUAGUAAUCGCGGAUCAGCAUGUCGCGGUGAAUACGUUCCCGGGUCUUGUACACACCGA